rnacentral:lncRNA from 1 species
GCAGAUCUGGAUUUGAGCGUGCUGGGAGAGCCUCUCCUGAACAAGUCACAGUAUGGCUGCAGAGUAGAAGAAGAUGCAACUCUGCUUUGUAGAGCUUGCCUGGACAAUGGAGCACAUAAGGGAACAUGCACUUCAUUGCCAGGGGUCUGCAAGAAAGGUGCUGGAAAGGUCUACAGAGAACCAGUAAGAGCCCUACAGAAAGGAAAGAAUAUUGACUCACUGAUAGGGAGUAGGAGUGAAUGGCAUAAAGGGGGUGUAUAAAUGAAGCGGUCAAGCGUUACAGAAAAACAGAAGCAGAACUGUUUUUACUACUGGGAAUGAAAUUCAUUUCAAUAUUUAAUAUUCUUAUUACAUCAUUUUAAAAUGAAAGAUAUUUAAAAGUUUGAC